rnacentral:rRNA from 1 species
CAGUAGCCGCGGUAAUACAGAGGGUGCGAGCGUUAAUCGGAUUUACUGGGCGUAAAGCGUGCGUAGGCGGCUAAUUGAGUCGGAUGUGAAAUCCCCGAGCUUAACUUAGGAAUUGCAUUCGAUACUGGGAAGCUAGAGUAUGGGAGAGGAUGGUAGAAUUCCAGGUGUAGCGGUGAAAUGCGUAGAGAUCUGGAGGAAUACCGAUGGCGAAGGCAGCCAUCUGGCCUAAUACUGACGCUGAGGUACGAAAGCAUGGGGAGCAAACAGGAUUAGAUACCCGGGUAGUCCCUGUCUCUUAUAC